UUAAACUUCAUUAAACUCUGCCCAUGCAUUUUACUUCUUCGGUUGGAGACAGGGAGACGAUGGCACCAUUUUCCUCCUCUCAAGUUUACGCGAUUAAAUGAGAAUCUGAGAAGAUGAUGAGGGAGAUUUUUUAGCACUGCCAGAAACUUGUUAAUGAUCCAGGCAGAAGUACUGAUGUCCUUUCCACCUUCCCAAGAUUUCUGGAUACAAAAGGAUUGGCUGAUCAAGACUCUCCUGUUUUGAUGACAAGACGGAAUGCGUUCUUCAAGCCAAAUAUCAUAAAAGAGGCCAAGAGGCUCACUUCAACACCAGAGCUGCGUGACGUGUUGCAGUCAGCAGAAAGUUCACCAUGAAGUGAUCCUGAGUCGACAUGUGUUCACCUUUCAUAACUUUCUAAUUAUAGACUAGUUUAUACACUGGACAAUCAUUGUCUGUUUACUGUUCUUAAUAGAUGUCUCUUCAUUGUUACUUAUCUGGACACUACUGCACUUUAACUGUAUUAUAUGUAAAUAAUCUCUAUCUUCUGGUUCGA